GACGAACGCUGGCGGCGCGCCUAACACAUGCAAGUCGAACGAGAGAGGAAGAGCUUGCUUUUCCGAUCGAGUGGCGAACGGGUGAGUAACGCGUGAGGAACCUGCCUCAAAGAGGGGGACAACAGUUGGAAACGACUGCUAAUACCGCAUAAGCCCACGGCUCGGCAUCGAGCAGAGGGAAAAGGAGCAAUCCGCUUUGAGAUGGCCUCGCGUCCGAUUAGCUAGUUGGUGAGGGAAUGGCCCACCAAGGCGACGAUCGGUAGCCGGACUGAGAGGUUGAACGGCCACAUUGGGACUGAGACACGGCCCAGACUCCUACGGGAGGCAGCAGUGGGGAAUAUUGCACAAUGGGGGAAACCCUGAUGCGGCGACGCCGCGUGGAGGAAGAAGGUCUUCGGAUUGUAAACUCCUGUUGUUGAGGAAGAUAAUGACGGUACUCAACAAGGAAGUGACGGCUAACUACGUGCCAGCAGCCGCCGUAA
rnacentral:rRNA from 1 species